rnacentral:antisense_RNA from 1 species
CUUCACCGACCCGAGCCACAGCGGCCGGUCCCCGGCGGGACGCUCCUGGCCGUAGGUGGCCAGCAGCGCCUGCGCUUC